rnacentral:rRNA from 1 species
GAUCUGGCUCAGGAUGAACGCUAGCUACAGGCUUAACACAUGCAAGUCGAGGGGCAGCAUGGUCUUAGCUUGCUAAGGCCGAUGGCGGCCGGUGCACGGGUGAGUAACACGUAUCCAACCUGCCGUCUACUCUUGGACAGCCUUCUGAAAGGAAGAUUAAUACAAGAUGGCAUCAUGAGUCCGCAUGUUCACAUGAUUAAAGGUAUUCCGGUAGACGAUGGGGA